rnacentral:rRNA from 1 species
AACCUCUACACUGCACGACAGUGCGAUAAGGGAAUCCCAAGUGCGUAGGCAUAGAGCCUACGCUUUUGUCCACCGUAGGGAGGUGGACGAAUAAGGGCUGGGCAAGACCGGUGCCAGCCGCCGCGGUAAUACCGGCAGCCCGAGUGAUGGCCGAUCUUAUUGGGCCUAAAGCGUCCGUAGCUGGCCGCACAAGUCCAUCGGAAAAUCCACCCGCUCAACGGGUGGGCGUCCGGUGGAAACUGUGUGGCUUGGGACCGGAAGGCGCGACGGGUACGUCCGGGGUAGGAGUGAAAUCCCGUAAUCCUGGACGGACCGCCGAUGGCGAAAGCACGUCGCGAGAACGGAUCCGACAGUGAGGGACGAAAGCUAGGGUCUCGAACCGGAUUAGAUACCCGGGUAGUCCUAGCCGUAAACAAUGCCUGCUAGGUGUGGCUCCCACUACGAGUGGGUGCUGUGCCGUAGGGAAGCCGCUAAGCAGGCCGCCUGGGAAGUACGUCCGCAAGGAUGAAACUUAA